rnacentral:rRNA from 1 species
UGACGUGGCGGGGUGCUUAUACAUGCCAGUCGAGCGAACAGACGAGGAGCUUGCUCCUCUGACGUUAGCGGCGGACGGGUGAGUAACACGUGGAUAACCUACCUAUAAGACUGGGAUAACUUCGGGAAACCGGAGCUAAUACCGGAUAAUAUAUUGAACCGCAUGGUUCAAUAGUGAAAGACGGUUUUGCUGUCACUUAUAGAUGGAUCCGCGCCGCAUUAGCUAGUUGGUAAGGUAACGGCUUACCAAGGCAACGAUGCGUAGCCGACCUGAGAGGGUGAUCGGCCACACUGGAACUGAGACACGGUCCAGACUCCUACGGGAGGCAGCAGUAGGGAAUCUUCCGCAAUGGGCGAAAGCCUGACGGAGCAACGCCGCGUGAGUGAUGAAGGUCUUCGGAUCGUAAAACUCUGUUAUUAGGGAAGAACAAAUGUGUAAGUAACUAUGCACGUCUUGACGGUACCUAAUCAGAAAGCCACGGCUAACUACGUGCCAGCAGCCGCGGUAAUACGUAGGUGGCAAGCGUUAUCCGGAAUUAUUGGGCGUAAAGCGCGCGUAGGCGGUUUUUUAAGUCUGAUGUGAAAGCCCACGGCUCAACCGUGGAGGGUCAUUGGAAACUGGAAAACUUGAGUGCAGAAGAGGAAAGUGGAAUUCCAUGUGUAGCGGUGAAAUGCGCAGAGAUAUGGAGGAACACCAGUGGCGAAGGCGACUUUCUGGUCUGUAACUGACGCUGAUGUGCGAAAGCGUGGGGAUCAAACAGGAUUAGAUACCCUGGUAGUCCACGCCGUAAACGAUGAGUGCUAAGUGUUAGGGGGUUUCCGCCCCUUAGUGCUGCAGCUAACGCAUUAAGCACUCCGCCUGGGGAGUACGA